AGAAAGAAGUGUCCUUGCUGGCUGCUCUAAUAGCAAACGUCUGCUGGUGUAAUGUCAUCUAGCCAGCGCAGCCACAGCCGUUCAAAUCCCACGGAGUCCAUGAAGAGGUGUCGCAGCAAAUGAUGAAAGUGUUUGGAGCAACGGUGUGAACGAAUUCAUUUGAGGAUUCGGCUUUUUUGGGGUGCAGCUAGAAGAAACAUGCCCUGAGUCCCUCUGCGUCCACUGUGCCAACCAUUCACUUGACCUAAUUCUUCAGGAGGCUGCGCAUGAGGAUCCUUCCCUGACCCAUCAGCGUGACCCUUGGGAAAGGACUAAAAAGUCUCAGACCCCAACUGCUAAUAUACUCAGUGCUGCAUGGCUUGUCUGAGCUUUCACUGGUCUACUCCAGGUUUGGAUCUGUGCCACGAGGUUCACCACUGUCAUAUCAGUGUCCUCCUGUUGUGGCCACCAGUCAUGUCAAACACCCAGAUGCCUCAGUAUUCCUCAAACUCCCUGUGGAUGGUGCCACAUUUUCCACUGUCUUAGACUUUGUCCCAAACUGCCACCAGUUCCUCCAUUUGGAGAGCCUGUCACACGGGGGAUUGCCGCUAUGAUAGAGGGCACAUGAAAGCAGUCUGAGUGUCCAUUAUGGAAAGAAAUGCGCCAGCUGAGUAACAGCCACAAUGCCGCCCCCCCUUUUUUUUUUCUUCAAAGAGAAUUCAUAUCAAAGCUAUUAUAGCUCACAUGAGUGACAGUUUUUAUAUAUAUAUAUAUACACACACACACACACACAAUUGUACUUACUGUAUUAUUGUAUUUGUAUUAC